GAGGCCGAGUUGGCCGGAUCAGUGGCCAUGUACGCGUACUCCGCGCCGCGCGCCGCGCACCAUAACUCCACUCGUUCCACCAGCUUCGUCCCGAUUCCCAGCCGCCUGCGAACUCGGACGAGUCAGAAAAAGAACCGAGUCGAAGAACAGCUGCUGCCCCUGAAACAAAUGGGUGCAUUCUUGGACUAAUCCGUGGACGGACACCGACACUUAGUCAUCUCCAAUUUUCCCAUCCACAUCUUCCCCGAACGCCGUACAUGUUGAUGUCCCAUACAAAGUUCGAUGGGCUUUAUCUCCCUCCCGUCUCUUUAUACAUAGUCUGUGUGUGUGUGUAUAUAUAUGAUUCUCCUUUUCUA